AAUUCAAAUCAAAAUACGUUGGCGCACUAGCGUGAUCUGACGGCUGCUUGGCCAAACUCGACGUCAGCCAUGUUGAACAUUCUCAGAUGUCAACAAGAAUGUCAUUGCAACACACGCACACAAAUUUACCUCCUCGCUCACCUCGCUGUAGAUCGUGUUGUUUACAAAAGUUUACUCGGUUUUUUCUGAUAGACUUCACAGGGGAAUUAUUCAUACAAAUCGUAUUUCAAUCGUUGCGUGAAAGUUGGAAUCCGCCACGAAGAAACGCUGCAACAACGCAGUUAAAAAUAGGAAUGGAAUUACAGACGAGUACCCAGCAGGAACCUGCAACGACUAAUGGUAAUUAGGCAAACCGGUGGGCAAUUGUAGGGAGCGGUCCGCCAUCCGACAAUACUCCUAGCAGAUACAAACCAAACACGUCGUCUGGACCGGCACCUAAAACAUGGGGAACUACGAACGGAAAAACGGUUCGAAUCCCGAAAGGAAGGAAGCAUGUCAGCUGAAUUUCCGAGGAAAUUCUGGCUGCCGCACUUGGACAACGCCGUAGAUGGAGUGGCAACAUCGAGUUGAAAACCCUACAUCGGAAGUUGGAACGUUGCUUACUGAUCAUCAUGGAGGAAGUGUUGAUGAUGGUCGUUUUAUAGUACAGGUACUGCCGAUAAACUACCAGUGGAGAUUUAUUUUUGGCCGUCUCACUUCCUCUUCUCUUU